CACCACUAGAGCACGCUGUUUCUCUAGUAUGCCCGGAAGUCAACAGAAAGUUAAACGGAACUGGAAGCGUUGCUCUGAGCACAUGCAUCUCGUUAGCUCUCAGCGGGAGGAAGGUUUAAGCUGCAAUGAUCCGUCGGGAAGAAUGGUUACCGGCAUGCCUGCUGGGUGGAACAUUGUAGCAUCGAUUUUUCUUACAGUAGCAUUUCACUACAUCAAUGGACAGUUGGUUUUAACUGAGGCCAUUUCUCAAACAGAGAGAACACCAAUAAGAUCAGCCUCCGGAUCGAUCAGACUCAGACUAAAAUCCAUAACAGAUGCAAUGAUGGAAGGACAGAAGAGUGGAAAAACCCAAGGAGGGGAUGGAGUAAGGGCACCAGAAAUAAAGGAAAAAGGGAGGAUAUGAGGGAUGAACGGAGGAAUUUUCCAGACUGCACAUGAACCCUGGAUUUCUCAUUAACUACGUACUUUUCAUGUAAGAUGUAAGAAGGAAGGCGGAAAGAAUAACAGGAAGGAAAAUAAAGUUGGAAAAAACAAAAGCGGUACAGGACAGAGGACCAGAAGCAGCAGGUCAGCACUAAUGGUCAGUGACAUGGCACUGUGGCUGGGCUUGGCGCAAGCGUCUGAACUGCUGAAAUAUUUACACAGCUUACAGAACGAGAGGCUCAUUCACUUCAAAUCAGUUGGAGCAGAGAGGCAGAGAGCCAGAACACUCUUCCACCUCUUCACUUACUGAGGCAACAGCAUGCAGUUCAAAUGGAUAGCAGCACAUGAAUAAUGUGCACGUGUGACUUUUUGUUUUACUUAUUUAUUUUUGCCCCAGUGUGUUAGGACGCUCUCUUCUUCAUUUUGUUAAAGGUUUAAAGAUUAAGUCUAUUUGACCCUGUUAUAUCGAUGUCUUAUUUCUGCAUGCAUUUGUUAUAUACACAAAUAUACAUUUGUGUCCCCAUGCAAGCAGUCUUGCCCGCGUGGGUGUUUGAAAGUGAACUUUCCAAUCCCCAAGGAGCUUUUUUUGUGUCUCCUUGUCAGCUUUAAAAGUUAGGGGUCAAACCAGCACGCACCUAACACAAGCCAACUCCACUUGCUGUUACCACGACACCAGAGGGCAUAAACAUAAACUGAAAACUGUCUCAUUUUCCUAAUGAUAGUUCAGGUAAACUCCUCAUGUUUGUAUCAGCUGGACAGAUAGUUAAAGCAAUGCGAGACAAUGUGCUUUUUUACAUAAUAUUUUCCCUCUCACUUGAAAGUUACUGACCCUUUCUCACCUUUUUUCCUACCUUUUGUUUUCUUCCUUGCAAGCGGUCUAAGAUGGGCAUAUCCACAAGCAUAGUGCUUGCUAAGCAAGUCUGCCAGCUCCAGUUUAAUAUUUAAUUGUGGAUCUAUAUAUACAACCAUGUAUACUGUACACACUGACAUGUUCAGACAAUUUGGCUGGGGACUAGACUUGGCCCCAUUUCAGCUUGAUUGGUAUUGAUCAUAGCAGGCCAAUCAGAAACUUAAAAACUGGAAUUUUUUUCUGAUUAGUGAGCAAACCAUACAAAGCUCUACCAGCUCUCAGGAAUAACACUGCUGAAAAGGAAGUUGCUACUGAUUGAAAAAUGCUCAAUUUAGAUAUUUUCUGUAUCAGCAAGGUGUUUAAAAAUAAAGUCUGAAAAGCACAGAAGGAGCAAGAAGCUUUUAAAAGGAAACCAACUUGUCUGAAGUUCAUUCAGGCUGUGAAAAAGCAUGAGAGAAUGAGACUGAUCCUAUUACAGCCAAAUUGCACUAUUUGCACUAUCCUUUAAAGCUUUCAACCUCUGUGUGUAAUUUUGGAUUUUAGACACUGAAAGAAAUUUAGGAAUAUCAGAUUGAAUGUAAGGAACACAAGCUGUUUUAACAAUGCUCAUUGUGUUAACUGCUAAUAUAAGACACUAAAGACAGUUUAAAAUGUCAAUCUGUAAUAAUUUUGUCUUUGUUUUAAAAUUGUUUUACAGCCACUGCUCAAAUAUACGGGCUCAUAUUGUCUUUGCAAAAUAAAUGAUAAACGUGUUGAGAGCUUACAUCUUUUAUGCUGAAGUUGUUAAAGAGAAAUAGGACAAUCCUAAAGUCAGUACUGGCAGGCUAAAGCUUUAAAACAUCAAAGAUCGAAUAUCAGUCAAGAAAGUCUGAAUGGUGCAUCCCUAAUGAAUGCACUAAUGUACUAACACCUGUGAAAUCCUCUGUAAAAGUUAAUAGGCUCUUAAAUAUAGCUUAUUUAUUUCCUUAUUGCACCUCAAUGUAGAUGUUGUGAUAUAUCCAAGACUUCCAGCAGUGAGCUAAGAGCCAGUGGCUCACUGAGAACAGAAGCCUUGGACAUAUUUUGUGAAAAAGAAAUAUCAACUGUGUAUUGCGGAGUUCACUCAGAUCAACUGAGUCUACACUCUUUGUAGGAUGCAUAUCCAUGCACACCAUUUUACAGCCCAAAUCUGUCAAAAUCCUGGGGAUUUUCUCUUGAAUUUUAUGAUUUUUGUUUCAUGCUUCGAUAUUUAGUGAUUAAUUUUGCUCCUGAUGAAUUCAAGUCUGCUCAGAAACCAUCUGUGCAAUUUUGCAAACAACUUCUUUCUCCUGAACAAGAGGCAAGGGGUGUCCAAUGGUGUGAGCAUACUCCUCCUCAUAGGUGAGCUGUUUGGAUUCUCCAAACAUACAUGUGCUGUUAAAUGACUAUACUUGGGUUAGCUGCAUUACAUACAUUUUUAUUUAAAAGACUGGUCUUGGUCUCAAGACCGGUCUUAAGACUGGCCUCGAGACCGGUCUUGCGACCAAGACCAAGUCAUGGUCAUUUCAAAGUCAUGGUCUUCUCUUGGUGUCGGACAUGCUAGGCUCAGUAUGUUUUGUUCAAGACUUAGACCAAAACCACAGCUGCAGCAUCCCUUUUUUUCUGCAAUUUGUGUGAAAGUCCCGUCUGCAUUCAAAUGCAACCAUAAAGUUUUUUUACUUUGAAAGUUUUAUUGCUGUAACCUCUGCCUCUGCAUGCUUACAUUUAAUUUUUUGUUCCCCUAAAUGUUGAUGAGUUGCCACAGACAAAUUACCUUUAAAUCUUUGUAACAAAGAACUGUUAUGAUUACAGCAACAAUCCUUAAAAUGAGGUCUGCCUUGGUCUUGGACUUGGCCUCUCCUCUCUUAAAGUCUUGGUCUUGUCUUGGUAUUGAUUUGGUCUUGGGUUAGGUCUUGACUGCAACAUUAGUAUCAAUAAUGAACUGUUUCUAAUAUUUCUAUUAAAAAGCUAAGAGUACAUUCUCAACAGUACUAUGAUGUAAGUUUUGUGUCCGUGUGCUCUUUGGAAAAUAAAUUAUACAAAGGUUGUUUGUUCCCCAUCUG